rnacentral:rRNA from 1 species
GUUCAGAUUGCAGGCUGCAACUCGCCUGCAUGAAGUCGGAAAUUGCUAGUAAUCGCAGAUCAGCAUGCUGCGAUGAAUACGUUCCCGGGCCUUGUACACACCGCCCGUCACACCAUGGGAGUCGGUAACACCCGAAGUCGGUAGCCUAACCGUAAGGAGGGCGCCGCCGAAGGUGGGAUUGAUGACUGGGGUGAAGUCGUAACAAGGUAGC